UACGAAGGGGGCUAGCGUUGCUCGGAAUCACUGGGCGUAAAGCGCACGUAGGCGGCUUGUUAAGUCAGGGGUGAAAUCCUGGAGCUCAACUCCAGAACUGCCUUUGAUACUGGCGAGCUUGAGUUCGGGAGAGGUGAGUGGAACUGCGAGUGUAGAGGUGGAAUUCGUAGAUAUUAGGAGGAACACCAGUGGCGAAGGCGCCUAACUGGACGAGUACUGACGCUCAUGCACGAAAGCGUGGGGAUCAAACAGG
rnacentral:rRNA from 1 species